GACGGACGCUGGCGGCGCGCCUAACACAUGCAAGUCGAACGAGCGAGAGAGAGCUUGCUUUCUCGAGCGAGUGGCGAACGGGUGAGUAACGCGUGAGGAACCUGCCUCAAAGAGGGGGACAACAGUUGGAAACGACUGCUAAUACCGCAUAAGCCCACGACCCGGCAUCGGGUAGAGGGAAAAGGAGCAAUCCGCUUUGAGAUGGCCUCGCGUCCGAUUAGCUAGUUGGUGAGGUAACGGCCCACCAAGGCGACGAUCGGUAGCCGGACUGAGAGGUUGAACGGCCACAUUGGGACUGAGACACGGCCCAGACUCCUACGGGAGGCAGCAGUGGGGAAUAUUGCACAAUGGGGGAAACCCUGAUGCAGCGACGCCGCGUGGAGGAAGAAGGUCUUCGGAUUGUAAACUCCUGUUGUUGAGGAAGAUAAUGACGGUACUCAACAAGGAAGUGACGGCUAACUACGUG
rnacentral:rRNA from 1 species